rnacentral:rRNA from 1 species
UGAAUACGAGAUGCUACGGCGUCGAAGCAGUCUAUGUCAUACUUCCAAGAAAAGCUUGCACUGUCAUAAACAAAUAAUGCCUGUACCAUAACCGACACAGGUGGGUAGGUAGAGUAUACUAAGGGGCGCGAGAUAACUCUCUCUAAGGAACUCGGCAAAAUGACUCCGUAACUUCGGGAGAAGGAGUGCCUUAUUUAUAAGGUUGCAAUAACAAGAUCCAAGCAACUGUUUACCAAAAACACAGGUCUCCGCUAAGUCGUAAGACGAUGUAUGGGGGCUGACGCCUGCCCAGUGCCAGAAGGUUAAAGAAGUUGGUUAGCAUCCGCGAAGCUGAUAACUGAAGCCCUGGUGAACGGCGGCCGUAACGAUAACGGUCCUAAGGUAGCGAAAUUCCUUGUCGGGUAAGUUCCGACCCGCACGAAAGGCGUAAUGAUUUGGAUACUGUCUCGGAGAGGGGCUCGGUGAAAUAGACUUGUCUGUGAAGAUGCGGACUACCUGCACCAGGACAGAAAGACCCUAUGAAGCUUUACUGUAACCUGAAAUUGAAAUUGGACUUUACUUGCGCAGUAUAGGUGGGAGGCCUUGAGAAUAUUCUUGCGGGAUUAUUGGAGCCAUCAGUGAGAUACCACUCUUGUAAUGUUAGAUUUCUAACUUUGUAUCAUUAUCUGGUCAAAGAACAGUUUCAGGCGGGCAGUUUGACUGGGGCGGUCGCCUCCUAAACGGUAACGGAGGCGCACAAAGGUUUCCUCUGAACGGGUAGAAAUCGUAUCUAGAGUGUAAAGGCAUAAGGAAGCUUGACUGUGAGACCUACAAGUCGAGCAGGGACGAAAGUCGGUCUUAGUGAUCUGACGGUGCUGAGUGGAAAGGCCGUCACUCAACGGAUAAAAGUUACUCUAAGGAUAACAGGCUGAUCUCCCCCAAGAGUUCACAUCGACGGGGAGGUUUGGCACCUCGAUGUCGGCUCAUCGCAUCCUGGGGCGGUAGUACGUCCCAAGGGUUGGGCUGUUCGCCCAUGAAAGCGGUACGCGAGCUGGGUUCAGAACGUCGUGAGACAGUUCGGUCCAUAUCCGGUGUAGGCGUUAGAAUAUUGAGAGGAGCCUUCUUUAGUACGAGAGGACCGAGAAGGACAUACCUCUGGUGUACCAGUUAUCGUGCCAACGGUAAACGCUGGGUAGCUAUGUGUGGAGUGGAUAACCGCUGAAAGCAUCUAAGUGGGAAGCCCACCUCAAGAUAAG